rnacentral:tRNA from 1 species
GCGGAAUUGAUGGAAUUGGCAGACAUGCAAGAUUUAGGUUCUUGUGCCUUUGGCGUGAGGGUUCGAGUCCCUCAUUCCGCA